GCGAAGUUCGGGCACGGGAGCCGGGUGAUAGGAAGGCGUACAUGUUUAAUCGGAAGUACUUGGCGUAAAGCGUGCGUAGGCGGUUCUUUAAGUCGUGUUGGAAGUGCCCUGGCUCAAACGGGGAAUGACAUGUGAUACUGGGGAUCUAUAGGGUGAUAGAGGGUAGUGGAAUUCCCGGUGUAGCGGUGAAAUGCGUAGAGAGCGGGAGGAACAUCAGUGGCGAAGGCGGCCAUCUGGAUCAACACUGACGCUGAGGCACGAAAGCGUGGGGAGCAAACAGGAUUAGAUACCCUUGUAGUC
rnacentral:rRNA from 1 species